GCUUUAAGUGUUUGUGUGCGGCUGCCGAAAAGCUAGCCUCAGCAUGACUCGUGUACUUGUUGCCGGAGACUCGAUGUUGAAGGACCUCGCAGGGUCUUUCACAUUGAGCCCCACGACACAUGUCGAGGUUCGCUCAUUCAGCGGUGUGCGGAUUGAGAAAUUGUUCCCCUUGAUUGCUCAGUGUCUGGCAGACGUGCAGGUGAUCGUUCUUCAUGUUGGCACUAAUAAUGUCGGCGAAGAACCACUCACGCUGAUUGCCAGGUUCCGAGCUUUGAUCUCCAGAGUUCUUGACGUCAAUCCGUGUAUCCGUGUGGUAGUGUCUGCAAUUCUGCCGAGACAGGCGAGUUUGCGCAAGUGCAAAUGGGCGCUGUCUGUUCAAGAAUUGGAGACAUUCAACACGGACGCCGGGGAGACGAAUGCCAUUUUGCAGGCGCUGUGCCACAAGAAUGGCUACGUGUACGUGGACGGCACUCGCGACUUGACGGGGAUGCUGAAGGCUGACGGCGUUCACCCGACGAAACGUGGUAGCCAGGUGAGCGACUCGUGUUGUGGAAUUCUGUGGCCUCCGUGGCAAAGGCUUUUUGCAACAGAAGCUCCCUUACUACGGCUUGCAGAAAAAGCUGGCGCAAACGUGCUGCUUCUGGGGUGCCUGCUGCGUCAGGCAAUCAAGCGUGCAUGCGAGGACCUUCCAGCAAGCCACGAUGGUGCAGUGUGCCAGCAGCGCCAGGAGGAAGAGGAGCACAUGGAGCUUCGUUUCCACUAUGGUGAUCAGGAAAAAGUGCUGGCACAGCACUGGACUAACCUAACCAACUUUCCAGCUCUUUCUGCAGGCCUGGCAGUUGCUGCAGCCCCUUCAUCUCCGCGCAAGGAGAUGUGGGCAGAUGUAGUGCGCAGGUCUGCUUCUGCUACCAUGACGGCAGUGACACCGAAGGUCACAGAAGCAGACACUGCUCAUGGGUAUCCUCCACUGCCAAUCACUGCAGGGGCAAGCACCAGGGCUUCGACUGACACUGUCGAUGCGCAAGUGAAACGGCGCCCUGUCCAUGCUCCUGCACUUGUUGGUGGUGUGUGGAUACACCACAAGGUGACUAAGACUGGGCAAGCUGCCGUGCCACUGUCCGCUGCUGCUUUUGAGCAGGGCCCAGCUUCUGACUGUGGGCCACCUGACGCCUGUGGCGUGACAUCCAAGGUGAGCCCCCGGCCAGAAGGUGAGGUCCUGCACAAGGGCGGCAACGCAGCCUACCCCAGCGCUUCCUCACCUCGUGGUGCAGGCCAUGCUGAGGAGCAGGAGGCAGGAUCUAGCACGAGCAAAAGUAAGAAAGGGCGCAGGAAGAAGAAUCCUGCAGGUGCUCCUGCACUUGUGGGUGGCGUGAGUGUUCGCCACAAGGUGACAGAGACUGGGCGUGCUGCCGUGCCACUGUCCGCUGCUGCUUUUGAGCAGGGCCCAGCUUCUGACUGUGGGCCACCUGACGCCUGUGGCGUGACAUCCAAGGUGAGCCCCCGGCCAGAAGGUGAGGUCCUGCACAAGGGCGGCAACGCAGCCUACCCCAGCGCUUCCUCACCUCGUGGUGCAGGCCAUGCUGAGGAGCAGGAGGCAGGAUCUAGCACGAGCAAAAGUAAGAAAGGGCGCAGGAAGAAGAAUCCUGCAGGUGCUCCUGCACUUGUGGGUGGCGUGAGUGUUCGCCACAAGGUGACAGAGACUGGGCGUGCUGCCGUGCCACUGCCCGCUGCUGCUUUUGAGCAGGGCCCAGCUUCUGACUGUGGGCCACCUGACGCCUGUGGCGUGACAUCCAAGGUGACAGAGACUGGGCGUGCUGCCGUGCCACUGCCCGCUGCUGCUUUUGAGCAGGGCCCAGCUUCUGGCUGUGGGCCACCUGACGCCUGUGGCGUGACAUCCAAGGUGAGCCCCCGGCCAGAAGGUGAGCCCCCGCCAGAAGGUGAGGUCCUGCACAAGGGCGGCAACGCAGCCUACCCCAGCGCUUCCUCACCUCGUGGUGAAGGCCAUGCUGAGGAGCAGGAGGCAGGAUCUAGCAAGAGCAAAAGUAAGAAAGGGCGCAGGAAGAAGAAUCCUGCAGGUGCUCCUGCACUUGUGGGUGGCGUGAGUGUUCGCCACAAGGUGACAGAGACUGGGCGUGCUGCCGUGCCACUGCCCGCUGCUGCUUUUGAGCAGGGCCCAGCUUCUGACUGUGGGCCACCUGACGCCUGUGGCGUGACAUCCAAGGUGAGCCCCCGGUCAGAAGGUGAGGUCCUGCACAAGGGCGGCAACACAGCCUACCCCAGCGCUUCCUCACCUUGUGGUGAAGGCCAUGCUGAGCAGCAGGAGGCAGGAUCAGCAAAAUUCUCACAUAGCCACAUUUGUACAGGUGGGGGAAAUCUGUCUGUAGGUAUGAAGUUUAGUACCUAUAAAGAGUUUAAGGCUAACUAUGAGGUGUGGAAAAAGGAAGGGUUCCAUCCGAUGCGUAUAGGACACCCAAACCCAAGAGGGCAAAAUAUUCGGCCCAAUCAGCACUUUAAUGGUACAGAAUGCAAUGUUGAAGUUAAGCUUGUGCUGCGGUCUACUCCGCAGCCGUAUUAUGAAGUUACAAGUGUCGUUGAUGUGCACAAUCAUAAAGUAGGCCCCGAGAUUUUUGUAUGGUAUACAAAAAUCGUGCACUGACAGCUUCCGAAAAAGAGCAACUUGAAGACUUGAUUUGCUGUAAUGCGAAAUCUAAAGAUAUAAAGGAUGCCGUUCUGAGAAAAAUGGGAAAGUACGUGACCUCACAGGACAUUAGGAACUUGAAGCAUAGAAAUGUUCAAAAAAUACAGGACAGUGCACAUCAUGGAGCCCUACUGCAAGAAAAAAUUAACGAAUUAAUUUCCGAAAACUCCGGAUGGAAAGUCCAUAUCGAAAAAAAUGCAGGAAAUGAUCUCUUGUAUAUAUUGCUUCAGUCAGAGCAUAUGGCCCAGUUACUCGAAAAAUAUCCUGAAGUGUUGUUCUUGGAUGGUACGUAUAAAGUUAAUAAAGAAGGGUUGUCUUGCAUUCGGUACUGUGUGAAGAUGGGACUAGCCAUGGUAGGCCUGUAUGCUAUGCAUUUGUUCAGCGGGAGACGUCAGAAAUAUUAAACUCCUUCCUGGAGGACAUUCUACGUUUGAAUCCUGUUGUAAAGGAGAAGUGCAAAAUUGUGAUAAUGGAUAAAAGACUUAAAAGAAAUGAAUAUAAUUUCGCAGCUUCUGCCCCGGAUGUAGAAUCUUGUUGUGUUCAUGGCACGUGUUAAAGUAUUUACACACCAAGGUGAUGCAGCAUAAGUCACACAGCCUAGAUAAAAAGUAUGUAAAAGAUAUAAUUACGAAACUGGUUUUUGCUAUACUGAGGAUAUAUAUCAAGAGCAUUUGCAAGAAUUUGGUGGAAGCACUUGAAAAUGACAAAACCCUCCUGGAAUACUUUAUAAAAACUGGCACAGUUGCAAGAGCAUGUGGUUCAUGCUUAUCGUGCUAAUGCAUGUAGUUUAGGAAAUAAUACUAACAAUCGAAUGGAGAGCCAUAAUCAAAAGUUAAAGAAUUAUCUAACACGUGACAUGCACUUAGUAGAAGCAGUAAAAGCUUUGAUAAGGUAUGUAACUCACGAUGCUCUUGCAGUCAGCCAUACACAGUAUAAAGAAAUGAAAAUUUGCCUUGACACCAGUAAGGCUGAUAAGUUUGCAUGGAAGUGUCAGCAAAAUGCACUGAAUAUGCUAGGAGAUUGGUAUGUAAAGAAUAUGGAUUGUUUAUGAAGAAUCCAGGAGAAUGUCUUGUCUCUGGUGGGAAAUGCAUCGUUUUCAUUGACAAUAAGCUUUACGAAGUUGGCAAUAAUAUGAGGACGUGCACAUGCACAUUUCACAUGCAGUACCAGCUGCCUUGCCGGCAUAUUCUGCAGCUAGAUCAGAAAAUAAUAUGAAACUUUUUGAUGAAAGUUGCGUGUUAAAGCGCUGGCUAAAAUCCGAUUUUGUGCGACUGACAUAACAAUGGAGCUGCUAAUGUACUUGCCGAGUGUAGUGCAACUGAACUACAAGAAAAACUUCGCGAGAUGUUCUUCUUGGGGAGAGCGGAAAUUCAAGAAACGAGACAAAUUUAUUCAAAUUCUGCAUAUUCCCAGCCAUUGGGUUCACAGUGACAACUAUGGAGCCCCUGACAACAGUGUUUUUUUGUACGAUUCAUUAGACCGGACAUAGAGCCGAGUGUUGCAAACUCAAGUAAUGAAUAUAAUGAGUCUUGCUUCAAACACUCUUACCAUUCACCGCGAAGGCAGUACAGCGUCAAGAGAACUUUUACGACUGCGGUGUUUUGCCAUUGCUAAUGCAUUCACUAUUGCAUCUGGCGUCGACCCUGCACCGUUGCUUUUGACAAGAAUUUAAUGCGCAGUCAUUUAAUAUUAUGUCUGGCAGACAUGAAAUGGUGCAUUUCCCUGUCUACUACGAUGCGAGUGCCCAGGGUGAAAACCAAAAUCACGUUGCUUUUUGUACAAAAGUGA